rnacentral:sRNA from 1 species
UCCUGUCCUCGGCAGUAUUUAUAGCCUC